rnacentral:rRNA from 1 species
AGAUGUUGGGUUAAGUCCGUAACGAGCGCAACCCUUGUCCUUAGUUACCAGCACGUUAUGUGGGCGACUCUAAGGAGGAACUGCCGGUGACAAACCGGAGGAAGGUGGGGAUGACGUCAAGUCAUCAUGGCCCUUACGGCCUGGGCUACACACGUGCUACAAUGGUCGGUACAAAGGGUUGCCAAGCCGCGAGGUGGAGCUAAUCCCAUAAAACCGAUCGUAGUCCGGAUCGCAGUCUGCAACUCGACUGCGUGAAGUCGGAAUCGCUAGUAAUCGUGAAUCAGAAUGUCACGGUGAAUACGUUCCCGGGCCUU